rnacentral:rRNA from 1 species
UACGGGAGGCAGCAGUGAGGAAUAUUGGUCAAUGGACGAGAGUCUGAACCAGCCAAGUAGCGUGCAGGAUGACGGCCCUAUGGGUUGUAAACUGCUUUUAUACGGGGAUAAAGUGACCCACGUGUGGGUUUUUGUAGGUACCGUAUGAAUAAGGACCGGCUAAUUCCGUGCCAGCAGCCGCGGUAAU